UGGCUCAGUUAAAAACAGGGUCGAGAAAAACGUCAGUGUGUGAAACGCGGGCCUAGUAACCGGAAUUCCAGUUUUAACCGUGUUAACCGUUCGAUGAAUUAACAUUGAACAGCCCCUGAAUUAGUGAACCGCACGAGUGAUGAAUUAGUUUGAAUCAGUGACGAACCACCGAGAAUGGACGACGAACCGAACAUGCCGACCAGGAUAUCCAACGGUGGAGACGAUCGCUGCAAUCUCCACGGGAUUUCGGACAGUUUUUCAAACGCAUUUCAACAGCGCACCGCGUUGCUUAAUGGCCACUUAGUUGAAUGACUUCAAGCGGAGAAGAGGGUGCAUUCAAAGCAGACGACGAUUCAAAGCAGACGACGUGAAGAAAAAUGGCGUCGCCGUACCGUUACGACGAAGUGCGCGGUGGCAGAGUGACAGGGGAAGAAAUCUCAAAACUUUCUCAAACACAUCAAUUUUCGCCUAUUCUACACCAAAAGCUCAUUCACC